CCUGACUGCGAUUUUUAGUCCAUCCAGAGAGAGAGAGAGAGAGAGAGAGAGAGAAAAGUCCACCGGAGCGAGUCGAAACAGGGACAACCAGAGUGAUUAGUGCCAAGAGCAGGAAGAUCUUUUCUUGAAAGAAUUUUAUCAUGGUCGUCAUCAGCUAAGUGUUUUGGAAAAAGCCGAGCAAGUUUUUGCUUCCUGACACAUGAAGGAUUGGAGGCUCUACAGUGGGAAGCUACAAACUUGGUGGGUGGAAGAUGAAUCGCUCCAUGGACACUCCGAAGUAUGUUCAGACACACACUUCUGGUAUGCCAUUCUAAGACCAAGAACAGAAACAUAGGAGGAAAAGAGAAGAGAAGGUGAGAUCUAUCGAUCUGGCAGAUCGGGGAAUACACUUUUACGACUUCUGUAGUCUUGUGUUCUUCGUGGGUUGGCCACUUGCUGUGGGAUAAAAGGGAAAAGUGGGUUCUUGGAGGUUUUGUUCAAGGAGAAAGUUGGCAUUCCUCGCUAAAAGUUCGGCUUAUUUUGGAAAGCGCUAUAUAUUUCUGGGGGUUUGGUACCGCCGCAUGCGGCGAGAAAAUUUGGUAAAGGUGCGAUCUUGCUGAGUUUGUUCAACAAAAGUUGAGAUUUUUGGGUAAUAAGUCACCACCGGGAUGCUGACGUCCAGGAAGCUUUCGUUUUUUUCCGAUUCAAGUUGGUAGAUAUGGAUUUCGUUCGUUUCGAGUAUCUAAUUUUGGAGUCUGGGCGUACAAGUUUAGGGUUUCUCACUCAUUUUUCUAUGUAAAGGAAAGGAUUUCUGGUGUUUCGAUGAUCUGAUCGAUCUUUUUCGCUGUUUUUGGUCCUGUUUGUGGAGCAAGAUAUCUCGAUGCGUUUCUUCCCGCAUUUAAUCUGGAAGAUCUGGCUCUGGAGAUUUUGCUGAUUCUGAGAUCUUGUGGAAGGAAGAAACUUUUGACUUGCUUGCCAUGAGAGCCGCAGAGCGACAGCGACGCUGAUUUCGUUGGAGGGAACUAAAUCUUGGUGAAGAUGUCUUCCUCCCCUCCGCCCUCUUCGUCGGCGAUUCCCCCGUCGUCUUCAACUUCGACUCCACCACCACCAUCUCCUCCUCCUGUUUCUAGCGCACCAUCUCCAUUCUCUCCUUCCUCACCACCAACUUCUCCACCAUCAGUAUCACCGCCACCAUCGAUCGCCAGUUCGCCUCCUCCUGUAACUACCCCCUCCCCGCCGCUGCCAUCGUCAUCUCCACCACCUUCUGCUUCUCCCCAACCACCAAGAUUGUCUGCUCCACCGGCUUCCAGUGCCACCUCUCCACCUGCUUCAGUACCAUCAACAUCAACACCUCCUACUGCUCCUACUGAUCCUCCACCAUCUUCCGGCUCCCCGCCUCCUGCAUCACUGGCUCCACCAUCCGUGACACCACCUGCAGGUUCUUCUCCAAUAUCACCAUCAGCUAAACCACCUAACAGUUCUCCUUCAUCACCACCUCCAUCAGCGUCGGUAGGCCCGCCUUCGGUGACACCAUCUAAACAUGCAUCAUCACCUGCUGAAUCUCCUCCCCCUAACUUUUCUGGCGGCACGACUCCUAAGCUACCUGAUCGUCCGCCGCCCUUAACCUCUUCCAUUACUCCUCCAGGCAGUAUACCUAGUCCAAGUAAACGAGGUCCCAACACACCAUCGGUUCCUGGUUCAGAUGCGGGACAGGGAGAUGGUGGUCUGAAGACUGGACCUGCUGUGGCUAUUGGAUUGGUGGUGGCUCUCGUGGUACUUAGCAUAGCAGGACUGGCUGUGUGCUUUCUGAGGAAGCGCAAGAAUUCGGUUGCUGGAUGUAAUGCAGGGUUUGUCAGGCCUUCAUCAUUUACAUCUUCAAUAAUGUCGGAUUCACCACUUCCAAUGUCCCCAUCAGCUCCUUGUGUACAUCUUCACAAGUCUGGUAGCAUUGAGACGAUCAACUCACCACCUGAAACAGCAAUUUCUAGUACAACACCAUGGUUUUUGUACAAAGAGCUAUACGAUAUAACCAAUGGCUUCGCACCUCAAAAUAUACUAGGUGAGGGUGGGUUUGGUUCUGUUUUCAAAGGAUGCUUAGCUGAUGGAAGAGAAGUUGCUGUGAAGCAAUUAAAAGUUGGAAGUGGACAGGGGGAGCAUGAGUAUAAAGCUGAAGUUGAGAUCAUCAGUCGUGUGCACCAUCGCCAUUUGGUUUCUCUUGUUGGGUACUGCAUAUCAGACAACCAGAGAUUGCUUGUAUAUGAUUAUGUGCCUAAUGGAACACUUGAAUCUCAUCUUCAUGGGAAAAGAAAGCCAGUAAUGGAUUGGGCCACCAGGGUAAAGGUUGCUGCUGGUGCAGCUCAUGGCAUCGCAUACCUGCAUGAGGAUUGUCAUCCCCGGAUAAUUCAUAGAGAUAUAAAGUCUUCCAACAUCUUGUUAGGCAAUAAUUUUGAAGCUCAGGUUUCUGAUUUUGGGCUUGCAAGGUUAGCUGUGGAUGCUUGUACCCAUGUUUCUACUCGUGUAAUAGGGACGUUUGGAUAUUUGGAUCCAGAGUAUGCAUCAAGUGGCAGGUUGACUGAAAAAUCUGAUGUUUUCUCUUUUGGGGUAGUGCUUUUGGAACUUAUUACUGGACGAAAGCCUGUUGACAGUACAAGGCCUAUGGGUGAUGAAAGCCUUGUUGAGUGGGCACGACCAUUGCUUUCCCGUGCACUCGAAACUGGAGAAUUUGGGGAAUUACCUGACCCUAGACUUGAAAAGAACUAUAAUGAAGCUGAAAUGUUCCGAAUGAUUGAAGCAGCGGCAGCAUGUACCCGUCAUUCGGCAGCAAUGAGGCCUCAAAUGGGAAAGGUGGUCAGAGUUCUUGAUUACCUUGCUGACAUUGAUCUUAGCAAUGGUGUCAUACCGGGACAAAGCAAAGUGUUCCAUGUAGCUCAUUCAGCAGAUGUCAGGAUUUUUCAGCAAUUGGUAUUUGGCCGCCAUGAUUCGAGUUCUGAGUACAGCCAGUACAAUUGGUGCUGUCAGACCGACAUGUAAACAGGUCAUGUUGAUGUUUCUAAAUUUCUUCAGCUCAUGCCAAUGAAUAUCUUCAGGAGAAAGAAAUGGACCAACCACUAACCUGUCUCCAGAGAACAUCACUCAGAGUUCAACACACAAAAUGCUGCUCUGUAUUGUAUGAUCCCUUGAGUUGGAACAACAUAUUGCUGUUCCAGAUUCAUUAUAAGUUCUCAAAGAUAGUUGGCAUUCACCUCUUGCUUCCUUCUGUGAGAUAAAUGUUAGCCUUCAGGCUAACAUUUGUACCCUGCAGAACUGCUUGCGGUUGGACCACUCAUGGUAGAGUUUAUCAAGGUAAGUUCAGUAGUAAUGUAUGAAAUGCUUGCUGUAGAGGUGGUGUUUCUUCCCCCAAGCAGUUGACUCUGGUGCUGAUAUCUUUGGGAAAGAACAAAAAGGACACUAUGCAAGCCCUUUGUCAUGUGUUGUUUAAUUUGUGGCAUGUUGGGACUCGGGAACUGAUGCUGGUAAUUAUCUAGUCUCAAAAUACGAAGGACAAAUUGAAACCAAAAAUGACAGAGGUAGUAUUCACUGUACUCUUUCAGAUGUUCAUAACUCCAGACUAAGGAUGUUUGCAGUUCUGUUUCAGCUAACAUUACAUGGAGUUUACUGGUUCGAGCUACAGUCCCUGUCUCUGUGAGAAGAUAAGAUGGCAUCGAUUGCCUCCUUCACUAGAGCAGUAUCAGGUGCUUUCCCUCCUUGUGCAGGCCAGAACUCAUCGGUUGCCAAAACCUGCACAGCCAUCAGAACACUUGUCAUCCAUCACUAUGACCGAGAAAAAGCUCCAAUUUGAAGUAAAGUGGAUUACCUUCACUUGCAACUGAAGGAACUUCACAUAGUUGAUGGCCUUCUCAAGCAUGGUAACCAUGUCAACCUACAACAUAUCGGUCAACACGAUUAGGAUAUGAUUGGCAGAAUCAAAUGUGGCUAAGCUGUUUGAUAAAAUGCAUGCCUUUGCUCCAUUGGGCACAAGAUCUUGGAGAGUUUUAAGGCGCUCGCUUAUGCGCUCCCUCCGGUUCUGCAACAACGAAGGAUCUGUCAGAAGAAGAAGAGGAUUUUAAUUGGGGGUCUCAAGAGAUCUAAAGUUAGCUGUGCACACCUUUGCUGCAAGAGUCUGGGGAUCCUUGGAUGGACUCGACUUCUCCUUGAUCGUUCGAGCAUUACCGCAUCGCUUCUUCGGACUUGGCACAUCACCUUCCUGCGUUAUUGGCAUCGACCUACUUCUCUUUUGGAUUUCAACCUCUCUCACAGGGCUGCCUAUAGAACCGUAGGCACUCAUCAUCUCCGAGUAGAUUCGGCCGUCAGCCAGCCAUGAGUCAGCGAUGCCGGCCCACGUCACGCCGUCACCUUGCUCGAAGUCCAGCAACGAGGAGUUGGAGCCGCACCAGCCGCCGGGGGCUCCCCUGAAGUCGACGACGGACAGCGCUUCUUGCAAAGAACAAGGAUUCGCCACGCCCAACGCGUGACUGCUACUAAAUGAGUAGAUAGGAUCUCCUUCAAAUAGCUCGUUCAGAGAAAGCUGGGGAGAAGCUGCCCAUCCCCCAUGGAUUAAUGCAUGGGACGACGACCAGCCUUGUGGGAUCCGACCAUUGGCGAGGGCCAUGCAAACCAGAAGACCUACGUGCGCAAGCAAGAGCAAGUGACCACAGAAUCCUUGCGGGAGGUGGAGGUGGUGUUCUUAAAGCAUGCAAUGGCCCAGCACGUUCCGCUACCCUCCUUUAUAAGCAAAGAUCCAAGUGGGGUGGGGUGGGGGGGAGUGCAUUAAAUUCUAGGUGAUUAUUGUGAGGUGUUUUGAAGCACUUCCAAGCUUUUGUUCUGCAAAUGGCGCUGUUAACUGAUCUGGUCACAUGGAAGCAUGGAGGAGAGGAGGAGUGGAAAAUGCAUCUCAAGAAUCGCCGCAGAUCUCGCACUCGCACGCCUUGGAUUCCUGUACUAUCGCUGAUAGAGAUCACCACCUCAUCAUAGCAGGAGUUGAAUUCUGGACGAGGCAGCGAAGGAGCUUUAAAUGCCAGCGUUCUUAAUUGGCUCAUCGCUUCAAUUAUAUGAAAGAAGAGUUCAAGGAAUGAGGAUCCAAGGCAAAUCAAGAUCAAGAUCACACAGCAUCUCCAUUGUUUACCAAGUAAACUGUUUGAAGAAUUGUCAGAUACUUGCAUUUAUGGAGGUUUUAACAAAGUCAACCUGUAAUUGCUGCCUCAAUUAAAUGCAAGUUAGAAAACCAAGCAGCUAAUAUACCAAAUUAUUGGAGAAAAAAAUGGCUGACUUUGGUGGAACAAAGAUUUUAUAGUUGUAUGACUACUUUUUAAACAUUAUCAGCAACUGUAAGAUCUAAAACAUUUAAUGAAUCCAAGAGAGUAGACAUUCCAAGCA